rnacentral:rRNA from 1 species
CACGUAGGGGGCGAGCGUUGUCCGGAUUUAUUGGGCGUAAAGAGCUCGUAGGCGGCUCAGUAAGUCAGGUGUGAAAACUCCAGGCUCAACCUGGAGACGCCACCUGAUACUGCUGUGGCUAGAGUCCGGUAGGGGAGCAUGGAAUUCCUGGUGUAGCGGUGAAAUGCGCAGAUAUCAGGAGGAACACCAGUGGCGAAGGCGGUGCUCUGGGCCGGAACUGACGCUGAGGGAGCGAAAAGUGUGGGGGAGCGAAACAGGG